GGUUGAUCCUGCCAGUAGUCAUAUGCUUGUUUCUAGAUUAAGCCAUGCAUGUCUAAGUAUAAAUGAAUAUACAGUGAAACUGCGAACGGCUCAUUCAAACAGUUAUAGGUUAUUUGAUAUUUCGGAUAAAACCAAUAUGGAUACCCGUAGUAAUUCUAGAGCUAAUACAUGCGUUACGGGGAACUUCACGGAACCCCAGUAUUAUUAGAUAUUCUUAAACCAUACAUUCCGCAAGGUCUACUGAGAUGAUUCAUGAUAACUAGUCGAAUGCCGGUUCAUACCGGCAUAUGUC
rnacentral:rRNA from 1 species